GUGCUUGCUUUGGCAGCACAUAUAUACUAAAAUUGGAACAAUACAGAGAAGAUUAGCAUGGCUCCCAAGCAAGAAUGACACUCUAAUUCGUGAAGCAUUCCAUAUUUCU